CAGUCGCCGCGGUAGUACGUAGGUGGCAAGCGUUGUCCGGAAUUAUUGGGCGUAAAGGGCUCGCAGGCGGUUUCUUAAGUCUGAUGUGAAAGCCCCCGGCUCAACCGGGGAGGGUCAUUGGAAACUGGGAAACUUGAGUGCAGAAGAGGAGAGUGGAAUUCCACGUGUAGCGGUGAAAUGCGUAGAGAUGUGGAGGAACACCAGUGGCGAAGGCGACUCUCUGGUCUGUAACUGACGCUGAGGAGCGAAAGCGUGGGGAGCGAACAGGAUUAGAUACCCCCGUAGUCCCUGUCUCUUAUAC
rnacentral:rRNA from 1 species